AUUGAACGCUGGCGGCAGGCUUAACACAUGCAAGUCGAACGAGUGGCGGACGGGUGAGUAAUGCCUGGGAAACUGCCCGAUGGAGGGGGAUAACUACUGGAAACGGUAGCUAAUACCGCAUACCAUCGGAUGUGCCCAGAUGGGAUUAGCUAGUAGGUGGGGUAAUGGCUCACCUAGGCGACGAUCCCUAGCUGGUCUGAGAGGAUGACCAGCCACACUGGAACUGAGACACGGUCCAGACUCCUACGGGAGGCAGCAGUGGGGAAUAUUGCAAAAUUGGCUAAAGCCUGAUGCAGCCAUGCAGCGUGUAUGAAGAAGGCCUUCGGGUUGUAAAGCACUUGCAGCGAGGAGGCGUUACUCGCAGAAGAAGCACCGGCUAACUCCGUGCCAGCAGCGGCGGUAAUUC
rnacentral:rRNA from 1 species